UCGACAUGUCUUCAGGCACUAUGGCCUUAGAGAGUUCAAGUGUGAUGUUUGUGGAAAGCUCUUUAAGACAAGGGAUUACAUUGCCAAGCACAUGAAGAUCCACUUCUGAAGUGUGUCUGCCUACAGUAGUUAUAGUGACCAAGAAGGACAAGCAGGACCCGGACGGUGACAUCAUUAUGAGGCUUGAGUACGGUCUCCUGAACUCCUCGUCCCUGGAGCUGAUUGGUUUUGUUCCCAGCUGUCCCUUGAAGGUCUCAGGCAGCAGCCAUCCCUCAUGAUGAUGCAGCUCCCCUCAGCCUACCGGGCGC